rnacentral:rRNA from 1 species
AGAUUGAACGCUGGCGGCAUGCCUUACACAUGCAAGUCGAACGGCGGCACGGGAGCAAUCCUGGUGGCGAGUGGCGAACGGGUGAGUAAUAUAUCGGAACGUGCCCAGUCGUGGGGGAUAACGCAGUGAAAGCUGUGCUAAUACCGCAUACGAUCUAUGGAUGAAAGCGGGGGACUCGCAAGAGCCUCGCGCGAUUGGAGCGGCCGAUAUCAGAUUAGCUAGUUGGUGAGGUAAAGGCUCACCAAGGCGACGAUCUGUAGCUGGUUUGAGAGGACGACCAGCCACACUGGGACUGAGACACGGCCCAGACUCCUACGGGAGCAGCAGUGGGAAUUUGGACAAGUGGGGAACCUGAUCCAGCCAUCCCGCGUGUGCGAUGAAGGCCUUCGGUUGUAAGUCACGUUUGUCGAGGAAGAAACGGCGUCGCCGUAAGUACGGACGUACGACUGACGGUACCUGACAGAAUAAGCACCGACUAACUACGUCGACCG